UCUUUGGUCCGGAGCCCGCUCCUAUGUGAUACGUUUUCUAAGAGUCGGUUUGUUUGGGAAUGCAGACCAAAAUGGGUGGUAAAUACCAUCUAAAGCUAAAUAUUGGCGAGAGACCGAUAGCGAACAAGUACCGUGAGGGAAAGAUGAAAAGAACUUUGAAAAGAGAGUUAAAAGUACGUGAAAUUGUCAAAAGGGAAACGCUUGAAACCAGUAUUGCUUGCAGGUAAUCAAUCGUCCCUUUUGGGGCGGUGCACUUGCCUGUUGGCGGGUCAACAUCAGUUUGUCUCGGGAUAAAAAGCUUGGAGAAGGUAGCCACCCUCGGGUGGUGUUAUAGCUCCAGGUCAUGUCUUGGGAUGGACUGAGGUCUGCAGCGUUAUUUGGGUAGCCAGUCGCCUCUCGAAGCAUUUUUGUAGACAGCACGCUGACUGCGAAACGGUCUAGGGAGCACGGUUGGGAUUCCACACCAA
rnacentral:rRNA from 1 species